rnacentral:rRNA from 1 species
AUUGAACGCUGGCGGCAGGCCUAACACAUGCAAGUCGAGCGGAUGAAGGGAGCUUGCUCCUGGAUUCAGCGGCGGACGGGAGAGUAAUGCCUAGGAAUCUGCCUGGUAGUGGGGGAUAACGUCCGGAAACGGGCGCUAAUACCGCAUACGUCCUGAGGGAGAAAGUGGGGGAUCUUCGGACCUCACGCUAUCAGAUGAGCCUAGGUCGGAUUAGCUAGUUGGUGGGGUAAAGGCCUACCAAGGCGACGAUGCGUAACUGGUCUGAGAGGAUGAUCAGUCACACUGGAACUGAGACACGGUCCAGACUCCUACGGGAGGCAGCAGUGGGGAAUAUUGGACAAUGGGCGAAAGCCUGAUCCAGCCAUGCCGCGUGUGUGAAGAAGGUCUUCGGAUUGUAAAGCACUUUAAGUUGGGAGGAAGGGCAGUAAGUUAAUACCUUGCUGUUUUGACGUUACCAACAGAAUAAGCACCGGCUAACUUCGUG